rnacentral:tRNA from 2 species
GCCCCCUUAGUUCAAUGGAUAGAACGGCUCACUCCUAACGAGCUGAUUCAGGUUCGACUCCUGGAAGGGGCACCA